rnacentral:rRNA from 1 species
UACGUAGGGUGCAAGCGUUAAUCGGAAUUACUGGGCGUAAAGCGUGCGCAGGCGGUUAUGUAAGACAGGCGUGAAAUCCCCGGGCUUAACCUGGGAACUGCAUUUGUGACUGCAUAGCUAGAGUACGGCAGAGGGGGAUGGAAUUCCGCGUGUAGCAGUGAAAUGCGUAGAUAUGCGGAGGAACACCGAUGGCGAAGGCAAUCCCCUGGGCCUGUACUGACGCUCAUGCACGAAAGCGUGGGGAGCAAACAGG